AUCAACUUAGAAGCAUGUAAUU
rnacentral:snRNA from 1 species